rnacentral:sRNA from 1 species
ACAGAGGUGGGGCUUUAGAUUUCCAGGGCUUAGGAGGGGAGAGAGGGAGAGAGGAUCCGCCAUGCUUGACAGUGUGUGGGCAGAGGAGAGACUCAGAAGCUGUGAUAGGGUAGAAAAGCAAGGAGAGUGCCCCGGGCUCUGGACUAAGAAACCGCCCCAGAGGGCAUCAGGAGUGGGUCUGGAGCGGCCAUGAUGGAAUAUAGAGCCAGUAAGUAAUAACUUGGGAUUAACAGCAUGGAGGUUCGGCAGUUACAGCUAUUGUGCUGUUUAAGGCGUAUUAAAAUAUAGAGGCUGUGUGUGUGUCUUUAAUUCAGGAACAUAAACCAUUGAGGCGGGUAGCAAACCCGCCGCCGGGAUUUAUUAAUUAUUUAAUUAUUUUAACACUGUGCCCCUAAAUUCCGUGGCAAGCCCCACCUCCCCGUUGACAAGGAAUAUUUCCAUGAGACUGUGGCAGAAAAUGCUCGAGGAGACUCAACCAGAAGCCAAAGAAAUCCCAGCUCUGGAGAGGUGCCCCCGCAGUGGAGAAAACUGCAUGUACCGAUCCAGUCAUCUGCAAAUUCAUGUGAUGGGGGCAGGGGAGGGACCAAGUCCUGGCCAGAUCCCUGCUGGCCUGCACUCCAGGAGCUUCUGCAGAGGUUGAAGCAGCCACUGGCCAUGAACCCACACCAUCACCCACCAGGCACCCAAGAACUGUGACCCUGCAAUUGGACCCGUACUAUCCUCCCAGGGACCAUUUCCUUCCCGCCACCGUGACCCGAGCUGAUGGAUGCCUGCUUCCUGCCCCUGUGGAAGAUGAGGGAGUGAUCCUGAGAGAGAAUAAGCACCAGUGGAUUCUGACACCAGAGAUGCUGUGACCUGAGCCAUUGGAUAUGUUUCCUGACUUGCACUGAAUCCCAUGCCUCACCUGCUUAUAGAGAAGGAAGGAUCUUGGAGAUUUCCUUCAGAACACCACAGGUUCAGGGUUCUCUCCCUGGGCUUCUGGUCUAGCUUCGGAUGCUGGUAAAGGAAGACGUUUUGGUUACAGGAAGGUUUAGAAAAGUCCUCAAGCUCCACAAGCUGCUGAGAUGGUACAGCAGGCUCUGCCCCCUUCUCCCACAAUAGCUACAAUCAACUUGAAUGCAAACCUCCUUGAAUGUUGGCAGCUAACUUUGUUUAUAUGGGAGGGUAAAGCAACAGUGCGACCAUGAGGACAUCAUUUCACAGCUUCACACAUCAGCCAGUGGCUCGUGCCUGUAACUGUGAGAAACAUGUUGUAUUUCAUAGCCAGCUUGGGAAAAUCCUGGAUAUGUUACGUGUAGCUUCAGGAAGGUAUGGACCAGAUCCGCCCAGCAGUGACUUGGAGAGGACCUUCAUCCUGCCUGUGCCCAGUUAGCUAGGCUGGAGGAAAUGGAAGUCGAGGGCUGUAAUGGAGACCUCUCUCUAUCUCCCUGUGCCUGCUGUAGCUGGGACCACAUACCACUGGGGCAUCCGAUCUCAGCAGAACAGCAGCACACAGUGACCAAAGCCAUGAGACCCAGAGCUGCACUUUCUGAGCCUCAAGACCGGUUGGUGUGGUGAUAAAGUCGAAGUAUGUUUAUGCGUGGUAAGCAGUUGCCUUUCUGUUGCUGAGACAAGACACCAUGACCAAGGCAACUUUCAGAAGAGUUUACUCUAGCUCAUGGUUCCGGAGGCUUAGAAUCCAUGGCAGUGUAGACACCACAGCAGGACGCAGCAGGCUGGGUAGCAGGAGCAGGAUGCUGAGAACAGCUUGACCUGCAGAAGCAGAGGGAGAACCGGAAGUAAAGGCUCUUCAUCUCGAAUCCGUCCCCACGUGACAUGCUUCCUCUAGCAAGGCCACACCUCCUAUGUCCCCCAAAACAGUGCCACCAACCGGGGGCCAAGUGUUCAAGUAGCUGAGACUGUGGGGUACACUCUCAUUUAACUCAGCACAGGUAUAUGCACGGAUGCACAUUUGUAAUUAAAACAGAGAUGAUCCUUAGUGUGGCUAGCAAUUACGCUGCGUGUAUUAGCUCCUAUAGCUCCAAUUGCAGCCUGUUUCCUGCCCCCAAGAGUGAGGCCUGAGAGGUCGGAUGCCUUGUCCUCUGCCUAUAUCCCAGGCACGGUACAUAGAGCUUAAUAUCCAACAAACGUGUUGAAUUAAAUGGAGCUACAAGUAAAUACCGAGGGCUAUCGGCAUGAUUAAACGGGAAUGUGUGCUCGCUCACAGAUCACCUGGUUAUCAUAUCAUUAAUUAUUGCAAUAAAUAAUUUUAACACUUUGUUGAAAUACAGUUCGCGUAGCAUUUCUUGAAAUAAAAUUCACCCAUUUAAAGCCUG